GAUGAACGCUGGCGGCGUGCUUAACACAUGCAAGUCGAACGAAGCACUUUAUUUGAUUUCCUUCGGGACUGAUUAUUUUGUGACUGAGUGGCGGACGAGUGAGUAACGCGUGGGUAACCUGCCUUGUACAGGGGGAUAACAGUUGGAAACGGCUGCUAAUACCGCAUAAGCGCACAGCAUCGCAUGAUGCAGUGUGAAAAACUCCGGUGGUAUAAGAUGGACCCGCGUUGGAUUAGCUAGUUGGUGAGGUAACGGCCCACCAAGGCGACGAUCCAUAGCCGACCUGAGAGGGUGACCGGCCACAUUGGGACUGAGACACGGCCCAAACUCCUACGGGAGGCAGCAGUGGGGAAUAUUGCACAAUGGGCGAAAGCCUGAUGCAGCGACGCCGCGUGAGCGAAGAAGUAUUUCGGUAUGUAAAGCUCUAUCAGCAGGGAAGAUAAUGACGGUACCUGACUAAGAAGCACCGGCUAAAUACGUG
rnacentral:rRNA from 1 species